ACCCGCUGAACUUAAGCAUAUUACUAAAGGCAGGACAAGAAAAUAACAAUGAUUCCCCCAGUAACUGCGAGUUAAGUGGGAAGAGCCCAACGUUGAAAGCUGCGACUCUAACGGGUCGUCGCAUUGUAACGUAUAGAUUUGUUCUCAAGGCAGUUGCCUGCAUCAAAGUUACAUAGAAUAGUACACCAGAGAGGGUGGUAGUCCCGUGCGUGAUGCAGGUCACAAAACUGUCAAGUAGACAAACUCUAAGAGUCGAGUUGUUUGGGAAUGCAGCUCAAAUCGGGUGGUAAACUCCAUCUAAGGCUAAAUACAGACACGAGACCGAUAGCGAACAAGUACCGUGAGGGAAAGUUGAAAAGUACUCUGAAAAGAGAGUGAAAAGUACGUGAAACCGUUAAUGGGGAAGCAGACAGUGGAAUCGAAGCUAUGUCCGUAUUGUGCAGUGUGGUCGCGAUCGUUUUGGUGUUGCUAUUACAUCCUUCUCAUUGUAUGUAUUACGGUGCAUAGCGCGCUGGGCCCAUCGUUUACACAAACAGCGCUGAAAUUGAUUGCGCAGGUCGGCCUGUAGUGCAGCUGCAUGCAAGUGUUGACAGCCUUAAAAACUGUUGAUCGUUGUGUAGUGCAUUAUCGAGGUUGUAGGACCAACAGAGACGAUGUGGUGGACAUUUGUGCGGUGCCAGUAAUGGGUGCAUGUUGAUGCACUUUGAGAGCAACAGUGCAAACUGGGCUAUGUGUAUGGUUGCAUUGAUUUGCAUAUUGGAUUCUACAGUGGCGACACUGAGGCCAGUGUGUAAAGGUGUGACUACACCUAGCUGCGAACAUUGUGCGUGAGGAUGUUACCAAUUGCACGCGUGUCGGUAGUGUGCAUAUCCCAGCGAGAUAUGGUACUGUCUGACCCGUCUUGAAACACGGACCAAGGAGGCUAACGUAUGCGCAAGUCGAGGAGUGGUGAAACUCUAAGGCGAAACGAAAGUGAAAAGUGAGAUCCCCCUGAAGGUGUGAGUAGUCUCCUCGUAAGAGAUG
rnacentral:rRNA from 1 species